rnacentral:rRNA from 1 species
AGAGUUUGAUCCUGGCUCAGGAUGAACGCUGGCGGCGUGCUUAACACAUGCAAGUCGAACGGGAAACUUUUCAUUGAAGCUUCGGCAGAUUUGGUCUGUUUCUAGUGGCGGACGGGUGAGUAACGCGUGGGUAACCUGCCUCAUACAGGGGGAUAACAGUUAGAAAUGACUGCUAAUACCGCAUAAGACCACGGAGCCGCAUGGCUCAGUGGGAAAAACUCCGGUGGUAUGAGAUGGACCCGCGUCUGAUUAGGUAGUUGGUGGGGUAACGGCCUACCAAGCCAACGAUCAGUAGCCGACCUGAGAGGGUGACCGGCCACAUUGGGACUGAGACACGGCCCAAACUCCUACGGGAGGCAGCAGUGGGGAAUAUUGCACAAUGGGGGAAACCCUGAUGCAGUGACGCCGCGUGAGCGAAGAAGUAUUUCGGUAUGUAAAGCUCUAUCAGCAGGGAAGAAAAUGACGGUACCUGACUAAGAAGCACCGGCUAAAUACGUGCCAGCAGCCGCGGUAAUACGUAUGGUGCAAGCGUUAUCCGGAUUUACUGGGUGUAAAGGGAGCGUAGACGGCUGUGUAAGUCUGAAGUGAAAGCCCGGGGCUCAACCCCGGGACUGCUUUGGAAGCUAUGCAGCUAGAGUGUCGGAGAGGUAAGUGGAAUUCCCAGUGUAGCGGUGAAAUGCGUAGAUAUUGGGAGGAACACCAGUGGCGAAGGCGGCUUACUGGACGAUGACUGACGUUGAGGCUCGAAAGCGUGGGGAGCAAACAGGAUUAGAUACCCUGGUAGUCCACGCCGUAAACGAUGACUACUAGGUGUCGGGGAGCAAAGCUCUUCGGUGCCGCAGCAAACGCAAUAAGUAGUCCACCUGGGGAGUACGUUCGCAAGAAUGAAACUCAAAGGAAUUGACGGGGACCCGCACAAGCGGUGGAGCAUGUGGUUUAAUUCGAAGCAACGCGAAGAACCUUACCUGCUCUUGACAUCCCGGUGACCGGCAUGUAAUGAUGCCUUUUCUUCGGAACACCGGUGACAGGUGGUGCAUGGUUGUCGUCAGCUCGUGUCGUGAGAUGUUGGGUUAAGUCCCGCAACGAGCGCAACCCUUAUCUUCAGUAGCCAGCAUUUUGGAUGGGCACUCUGGAGAGACUGCCAGGGAUAACCUGGAGGAAGGUGGGGAUGACGUCAAAUCAUCAUGCCCCUUAUGAGCAGGGCUACACACGUGCUACAAUGGCGUAAACAAAGGGAAGCGAGCCUGCGAGGGUAAGCAAAUCUCAAAAAUAACGUCUCAGUUCGGAUUGUAGUCUGCAACUCGACUACAUGAAGCUGGAAUCGCUAGUAAUCGCGAAUCAGCAUGUCGCGGUGAAUACGUUCCCGGGUCUUGCACACACCGCCCGUCA